UGCAUAUUCGUGCACUUUGGGUGUACUUGCCCGUAUGGUUGGUUAACAUCAAUUUUGAUGGUCAUAAAAUGACUGGAGGAAUGUAGCUUCGAUCUCGUAUUGAAGUGUUAUAGCCUUCGGUAGAUGUGAUGAUCGAGAUUGAGGAUUGCAACGGAUACCCUUCGGGGCUACCUGUCUGAUCUCUGAUCGUUGCUCUGGUGCCGAAAGCUUGCUUACGGUUAUCAAAGUCGAUGGUCAAUAGGUUAGAACGGGUUAAA
rnacentral:rRNA from 1 species